GCCGCGUGAAGGAUUAAGCCCCUCUGGGUUGUACACUUCUAUUAUAGGGGAAGAAAUGUGACGGUUCUCCGUCACUUGACGGUACCCUGGGAAUAAGCACCGGCUAACCCCGUGCCAGCAGCCGCGGUAAUACGGAGGGUGCAAGCGUUAUCCGGAUUCACUGGGGUUAAAGGGUGCGUAGGUGGGCAGAUAAGUCAGUGGUGAAAUCUUCCGGCUUAACCGGGAAACUUCCGUUGAUAGUAGUUGUCUUGAAUAUUGCGGAGGUAAGCGGAAUAUGUCAUGUAGCGGUGAAAGGCUUAGAUAUGACAUGGGACACCAAUUGCGAAGGCAGCGUGCUAUGCGGUGAUUGACACUGAGGCACGAA
rnacentral:rRNA from 1 species